rnacentral:rRNA from 1 species
UACGGAGGGUGCGAGCGUUGUCCGGAAUCACUGGGCGUAAAGAGCGCGUAGGCGGUCCGAUAAGUCGGCUGUGAAAGUCAGGGGCUCAACCCUUGAAAGCCGGCCGAUACUGUCGGACUAGAGUCCGGAAGAGGCAAGUGGAAUUCCCGGUGUAGCGGUGAAAUGCGCAGAUAUCGGGAGGAACACCAAUGGCGAAGGCAGCUUGCUGGGACGGUACUGACGCUGAGGCGCGAAAGCUAGGGGAGCGAACGGG